CUUUGUUCCGUGUGUGUGGAAAAGCACACACUGUCAACACGGUGGAGAAAAGCUAAUAUUUACCACGUAUGGCCUCUACUUUAAUAUUAGCUUGAGGUGCUAGGCGAGGGAAAGCAGCGGUCUCUGACUCUGCCUUCACUUCCUGCCCAACACAACUAUCCAAAGAUGUAUUUGUGCGCCUGCUUUUCGAGAUGAGGAUAUGAACUGGAAAGUGGUAUCCCAACACGAUACAUCAAACUGGGACAGCAGCGACAUGGAGGAACGUAAACCAGCAUUUACGAUGACAGCAGCAGAUUUUGGAGGAGUAAAAUAUUCCCCCUUAAUGGGCUUAUUUAAGAGAAUUGUUUGAUGUUGUUGGCUAAAAUAAUUUGUCAACCAAUAAAUGUCCUGGUUCAGUUCGAAAUGGAAUUUAAACUGUCUUGCGGUCACAUUUUGACAUCACGGGACACAGAUGACACUUACCAAUGGUACUUCGCCAAUACGAGGUCACAAACAGGAUGUUCUCAGACGGCAGUGGCCGCUGAACUUGUGCAAAAAAAAUACUGAAAAAUUGCACCGUUGGACCUGUGCAUUCAAAGGUUUAGAGAAGGUCAAAAUAAGUUUGUUUGUAAAGGUAGAAGGUACAUCUUGAGAUUUCAAAUCUUUUUUUUUUUUUCCCCCUACCCCAAUUGUCGAAGUAGGAAAUGACCAUAAGUGAUGUAUGAGUUAGUAACGGUUUAAUGGUUUGAUUCAGCACUCUGUCCAGGGCCUACGACCUUACAAUAGACGAGUAGCAAUCUCUGAUAUGAUCUUCUCUGAUCCACGCCAGAAGUAGUCUUUGCAUAGUUUCCGUUUCCUCUCCUCAUCCAGUCAAAUUCCAAACAGGAAAAGAUCUUCGGGCCUUUUCUUUCCUCGCAAAUCAGCAGUGUGUAUUUUUGGGACGUGGUGGCUCUGUGCCUCGUCUGUGGAAAGGACUGAGUUCCCGUAUGUACUGCAGGGAACCAUGUGUGGGGUUUCUGGCGCUGGACCUACAUCAAUAUCCUCCUAUGCCGGUGGCCAGGUGUUGAGGGGUAAAUUCCCAAUCGAAUUGUGUAUCCUGCUGCAUGGCCGCUGGAUAUGCGUUUCCUCGCUUCGCUGUGCGCUCUGUCUCCUCUCCUUCCGUCUUGUUCUUGGCAUUCCUCUAAUCUGAGCUGAGCGCGGUUGGUCCACCGCGGCUCCUGCUGCACACCUGCUAUGAAGAAACAGCUGUGGUCCACCAUAACAUCAUUAGUGCAGCUGAAAGAGAAGGAAAGGCCUGCGUAGCCGUCCCCCCCACUGUUUACUCUCCCAAAGAGUUCAGCACCAGGGCAUCUGUACAAUGAACCAACAUUUUUACGAUAAAGACGUGCAAAAAAGCUGCUGGACCCCCGCCUCUUUCUCAUGUAACAUGAUCGGAAGGGAACAUGUGGGAGAGCCGGGGUGCUGAAAGAGAAUUUUAUACCUCGAUUAAUGCGUUCUUAUGGGAUAUUCACUUUGAGAUUCAUGAGCGAGCAGUUUGUCUCAAAGCACAGAAACUCUUGCGGACAUGACCCAAAAUCUCAGAAAGCAGUGAAGCAAAAAACAGGACGAACGUACGGCUGCAAGUAAAUCUUUUGUUCGCUGUCCUAUUUCUGAAAAUGUGUCUGAGCCAGCCAUACAAACUGAAUUUUGCUGAAUUGUGACGUCACACUUUAAUAUUAAUCAACAUAAUACUGCCGCCAAAAUGAGUUUCUCUGCCCAUGAUGUAGUAGCUAGGCUAGGCAUAAAUCUGCCACUUUCAAGCCACAGCUGGAUAACACUGAGUGAAACACCGUCAGAGCCAAAGCUAUGCAGAUCUGCAUGGUUUUUGUGUUGGCCGCAUAGAUUAGCUUCUGAUAAGCGACACAUACUUGACUGUUUGGCGAAGUUGCAAACAUGGGAGUAUUUGUCUUUGGCAAUGUGUCCACUGCUUAUGCGACGCCGAUCUCCACAGUAAUUGACAAAUAUAAUUGGGGUGCUUGGUUGAUGAUGAAGUGUUGCCGCUACAAGUGAAAAUACAACCAAUGCUGUCUUUGCUUGCACAGGCCAUUUUUUUUUUUAGACUCCUAGUUCCGCUUCUAGUCGUCAUGGUAAUGAGGACUUUACUUUGGAGUAUUUUAACGAAAGCUACAGUGUCGUGAAAAAGUAUUGGCCCCUUUCUCAAAUUCUUAUAUUUUUUGCAUAGUUUCCACACUUUGUUUAAGAUUAUCCAACAAAUGUAAAUAUCAGACAGAUAUAACCCAAUUGAAAUUAAAAUGCUGUUUUAAAAUGAUUUCAUUUAUUAAGGUAAAACAACUAUUUAGUGACCCUGGCCCUGUGUGAAAAAGACAUUACCCCCCUUGUUAAAUCAUGAAUUCAUUGUGGCUAAUCGCAAUUUUUGGUUAAUUUUUACUUAUCACAUCUAAGCCUCAUUACCUUCAGAGCUCUUCAACCAAGAAAACACUUCAACAGAAUCUGUCCCGACAAAAUCAAGUCGGACAAAAGAUCUAAAAAAGCUGCAACAAAAUGACACGAUCAAAACAAAUUCCACAACAGUCGAGAAAUAAGGUAGUUGACAUCUAUCAGUCUGGAAAGGGUUGCAAAAGCCAUUUGUAAAGCUUUAGGAUUCCAGCAAACCAUACGGAGAGCCAUUAUCCUCACAUGGAGAAAACAUGGAACAGUGGCGAACCUUCCCAGGAGUGGCCGGCCUACAAAGAUUAUCCCACAGCAGUGACUCUUUUCAGGAGGCCACAAAGGAGCUCAGGACAACUUCUAAAGAACUGCAGGACUCCCUUGCCUCAGUUCAGGACCUGGACAACUUGCUGUGAUUGAUGGAAUCAUGAAUUCUGCUCUUCAACAGAAAAUCCUGAAGGAUAAUGUUCAGCCAGUAUAUUGUGACCUCAAGCUGAAGCGCACUGAGGUUCUGCAGCACGAUAAAGAUCUAAAACACACCAUUGAGCCCUAGCGGAGAAAAUCAAUCCGUCACUACGCAUACAGGAAGGAAGCCUGGGCUGGAGAGAGAUAUUGCUCUUAAUGACAUGUCUCUGUGUGCCUGCACCAGAGAGGGAAGUAACCGGAUAUUUAAACAGAGAUAAGAGUGUGUGCCAAAGGGGCUGGGAUUGGAUAUGGCUACAAGCCCCAUGGCAACCGGCCGGCCGCUAUUGGAUAUGGAAAGGAUCCGUAAGCAGUAAUCGGAUAUAUUUCCAGGAUUCCAGCAUCCACGGCCAGAAGUUCACAGAGUAGAUGGGAGCAGCUCUGAGCCUCUGCAACCGACAUGUACUUUUUUUUGCUCUGAGCACCGCUGGGUUGAAUGAGUUACCUGAAGCCACCCAAGCUACAUUCUCUAUACCGAGACUUUUUGGGUGCAUGGACACCGUACAGGGAACAAUUUUUGGAAGGACUCCCUGAUAAUCCUAAUGCCAAUUGAACUACCAUAUGUACCCCUAAAUAAGAUGGGAAUAAAAAAACAAAUCCUGUUUAAUAAUAAAUCAAAUUUAUAAAGCACUUUUCUGGACUCUCAACAAUAAGGGGGUGCUGGAGCCAUGCCCAUAAUUACCACUGAGGACCCCGGGGUCGUGUCCUCCGUAUUUUGUCCUCAGUGGAAAAAAAAGAGAGGAGCAAGUGGUUUCCGCACCAAGUGAAGUUAUUUGUCUGCAAUUACCACCUUCUGUCUAAUCAUCGCCGUGGGCGCUGAUUGGCUCCUACAGUGGCAAGGGGGAAAACACUGCACGCAUACACUCUUGGAGAGAAAGUGCUGAAAGACCUUCUAUUCUAUACAUCCACUGUCUCUGCUCCAGCCAGACUGCAGUCACAUUAUGACCAAGGUAAUACAGAAGAAUUUCACUUUUGCAUUCAUUCCCACACUGGACAGGGAUAUAAAUCCAAAGCCUGCUAACAAGCUAACGUCAGCGAUACAAAGCAACAAUUAUGACAUGUAAUGAUACCUUUUAUUUAACUGUACAAUAACUACAAUUUUUGCCUCCAGGAACAAAUUAAUUCACCUUAUUUGCCAUUGGAUAUUUUUUGAAAUUCCACUUUACCAGGUUGUGGCGGACUAAUACCAAAUCAUAAAUGUAGUGCUGUUUUGUAAAUUUAUAGGUUGCAUUCACGUCAACUAUUAGUCACAUCGUCAUCGCAUAAGGCCAUCGCACCCAGUGACGAGGCCAUAGUGAAUUAAUCAGAUGGCGUACAUUGAAAUAUUUUUGCUAAGCAGAUGGCUUCUCAGUUUCUGCUAUCUGUUACGAACCCCACACGUUUGCAUUCCCGAGCCAAUCUGCGGCAUCAGCUGCUAUAUGAACCCCCGCCGUCCCCUGAUCAUGUGAUGCGCCCCAAAAAAGGAUUACAGGCAACCGGAUCCGUUUUGGCAUUGGCACUGGAAUUGUCAUUACAAUGAUCUUGGGUGUGGUGCACCAAGAAUGCAUCCUCAAUUGGAAGGAGAAAGCACAAGGGGGGGCUCAACAAGGAGAUAAUACAAGGAGUUCUGGAACCACACCAGUUUUUCGAUACCCCUUGCGCACUGCUUCACAUCCAUGCACCCAACCAUCCAUCCAUCCAUGCAUCCAUCGGUCCAUCUAUUUAUUUUCUUCUGCCUAUCUGGGGUUGGGUCGUGAGGGCAACAGCCUAAUCAGAGAAGCCAAGACUUCCCUCUACCUAGCCACUUCGUUCAGCUCUUCAGGGGGAUUGCAAGCCAAUUCCAGGCCAGCUAGGGAAUAUAGUCACUCCAGCGCAUCCUGGAUUGUUCCUGGGGCCUCCUCCAUGUGGGACAUGUCUGGAACACUUCACCAGGGAGGCGUACAGGAGGCACCCUACCCAGCUGCUCGGGCCACCACAUUUGGCUCAUCUCGACGUGGAGGAGCAGCAGCUCUUCUCUAAGUCCCUCUCGGAUGACUGAGCUUCUCACGGUCCCUGUCUCGAAGGGAGAGCCUGGACACCUUGCGGAGGAAACUCAUUUCAGCUACUUGUAUCCGUGAUCUUGUUGUUUCGGUCACGACCCAUAGGUGAGGGUGGGAACGUGGAUCGACCAGUAGAUUGAGACAUUCGCCUUUCGGCUCAGCUCCUUCUUCACCACGACAGACCGACUCGCAUCCACAUUAUUAUUUUUUUUUGCCUAAUAUCCCUAACAUUUUGUGAUUACAGUAGUACAAUAAAUUGGUAUGGUCCUCCA